rnacentral:rRNA from 1 species
AAAUUGCCCACUCUUUGCAGGAGGCAGUUAUGAGACGUGAAGAUGAGUAUCUUGUAAAGAGGGAUAGGAGAAUUGGAGGGCAAGUUUGGUGCCAGCAGCCGCGGUAAUACCGACUCCAAGAGUGUGUAUGAGAGAUGCUGCAGUUAAAAAGUCCGUAGUCAUAGAAGGGCAAAGAGAGAUGCGAGGUCUCACAGUGCGAUGAUGGAGGAGCCGAUGGGGAACAUAGUAUACCAGGGCGAGAGAUGAAAUGCCAAGACCCCUGGUGGACUGAGCGAGGCGAAGGCGAUGUUCUUGUAGGCAUUCGGUGAUCAAGGACGAAGGCUGGAGUAUCGAAAGUGAUUAGAUACCGCAGUAGUUCCAGCAGUAAAAGAUGCCGACAUGCUCAUUGGACACAGUGGGCAGGGAGAAAUCUUAGAGUUCGGGCUCUGGGGAUAGUAUGCUCGCAAGGGUGAAAAUUAAAGAAAUUGACGGAGCUACACCACAAGGAGUGGAUUGUGCGGCUUAAUUUGACUCAACGCGAGGAAACUUACCAGGGCCAAGUAUUGUGUAGAAACGAGCAAUACAGGAGUGGUGCAUGGUCGUUGGAAAUUGAUGGGAUGACUUUGACCUUAAAUGGUUGAAUGAGUGAGAUCUUUUGGACAUGUUCCGCACGGAACAGGAAGGAAAAGGCUAUAACAGAUCCGAGAUGCCCUCAGAUGCCCUGGGCUGCACGCGCAAUACAAUAGCAGGUAGAGAGAGAGACAGGAAGGUGCUCAGAUGGACUAUGUGCUGUAAGGCACAUACGAAAGAGGAAUUCCUAGUAAGUGUGUAUCAACAAUGGAUAUUGAA